CUCGCUCACUCAGUCACUCUCGUUCGCUCGCUCACUCGUGCCUCUUCCUCACUCCGCUGAAUCCCUAGCUCGUCGUCACCGGUGCCUCCCUCACGCGUCGCCAGCGCCUCUACCCCACACGCAGCGCCUCCGCCUCUCCCUCUCGCGCCGUCGCCGCCUUUCCAUGUUGUCGUACGCCAUCGCCUCUCGCUCUUCAAGAUCUCAGUUUUACUCCACUCCGGCGGCUGGAUCCGAAGCGUGGCGGCUCGAUCCAGCAGCUGUGGUACGCCAGCCCCUCCUCUUCAACGCCAGCAGCUGCAGUGCCUAGCCGCAGCAGAGCAGGUUCAAGCAGUAGCAAUAGCAGUAGCUUCAAAUAAGGCGCCUCCCCGACAUGCGGCAGCAGCAGUAGCUUCGCCUUGCUAUCUUCUUCUCCUCUCUUCAAGCAGUAGAUCGAGCGAAGCAGAGCAGAUGCCUCAUCAACCUACUAGCUGCACCAACGAGAGGUGGGAGACGAGAUGUAGCAUCUUUGUACUGAUGCUCACAUUGCUCAAAAGGAGAAGCUUGUCUUGAAGCAAACCAAGAGGGGUGUGAUCCUCCUCUAAACUAAGGGAAGCCACACCAGCAUUUGGAUGGUGUUAUUUCAAUAUCUAUGAUUUUCUACUUAAAUUUUUCAGGCAAGUCAGUUCGCAUCGGAGUGCAUCUCGUGUCUAGGCUGUGUUCACGUUGGUGUCCCUGUGCUAUGGAGUUCCUCUACGUCGUUCUUUCGCUGCCGCGUAGCUCGUGUGAUCGAGGCCCCGUCAUGUUCAUUAAAUAAUGUACAUACCGUCCAGCAGCACCGUGUGUGCUGCUUGGCCUCGAAUCUCGAUGUAAUAUCAGACUUAUGUAAUUCGCUAGUAU